rnacentral:rRNA from 1 species
AUGCUGGAGGUAUCAGAAGUGCGAAUGCUGACAUAAGAAACGAUAAAGCGGGUGAAAAGCCCGCUCGCCGGAAGACCAAGGGUUCCUGUCCAACGUUAAUCGGGGCAGGGUGAGUCGACCCCUAAGGCGAGGCCGAAAGGCGUAAUCGAUGGGAAACAGGUUAAUAUUCCUGUACUUGGUGUUACUGCGAAGGGGGGACGGAGAAGGCUAUGUUGGCCGGGCGACGGUUGUCCCGGUUUAAGCGUGUAGGCUGGUUUUCCAGGCAAAUCCGGAAAAUCAAGGCUGAGGCGUGAUGACGAGGCACUACGGUGCUGAAGCAACAAAUGCCCUGCUUCCAGGAAAAGCCUCUAAGCAUCAGGUAACAUCAAAUCGUACCCCAAACCGACACAGGUGGUCAGGUAGAGAAUACCAAGGCGCUUGAGAGAACUCGGGUGAAGGAACUAGGCAAAAUGGUGCCGUAACUUCGGGAGAAGGCACGCUGAUAUGUAGGUGAGGUCCCUCGCGGAUGGAGCUGAAAUCAGUCGAAGAUACCAGCUGGCUGCAACUGUUUAUUAAAAACACAGCACUGUGCAAACACGAAAGUGGACGUAUACGGUGUGACGCCUGCCCGGUGCCGGAAGGUUAAUUGAUGGGGUUAGCGCAAGCGAAGCUCUUGAUCGAAGCCCCGGUAAACGGCGGCCGUAACAAUAACGGUCCUAAGGUAGCGAAAUUCCUUGUCGGGUAAGUUCCGACCUGCACGAAUGGCGUAAUGAUGGCCAGGCUGUCUCCACCCGAGACUCAGUGAAAUUGAACUCGCUGUGAAGAUGCAGUGUACCCGCGGCAAGACGGAAAGACCCCGUGAACCUUUACUAUAGCUUGACACUGAACAUUGAGCCUUGAUGUGUGGGAUAGGUGGGAGGCUUUGAAGUGUGGACGCCAGUCUGCAUGGAGCCGACCUUGAAAUACCACCCUUUAAUGUUUGAUGUUCUAACGUUGACCCGUAAUCCGGGUUGCGGACAGUGUCUGGUGGGUAGUUUGACUGGGGCGGUCUCCUCCUAAAGAGUAACGGAGGAGCACGAAGGUUGGCUAAUCCUGGUCGGACAUCAGGAGGUUAGUGCAAUGGCAUAAGCCAGCUUGACUGCGAGCGUGACGGCGCGAGCAGGUGCGAAAGCAGGUCAUAGUGAUCCGGUGGUUCUGAAUGGAAGGGCCAUCGCUCAACGGAUAAAAGGCACUCCGGGGAUAACAGGCUGAUACCGCCCAAGAGUUCAUAUCGACGGCGGUGUUUGGCACCUCGAUGUCGGCUCAUCACAUCCUGGGGCUGAAGUAGGUCCCAAGGGUAUGGCUGUUCGCCAUUUAAAGUGGUACGCGAGCUGGGUUUAGAACGUCGUGAGACAGUUCGGUCCCUAUCUGCCGUGGGCGCUGGAGAACUGAGGGGGGCUGCUCCUAGUACGAGAGGACCGGAGUGGACGCAUCACUGGUGUUCGGGUUGUCAUGCCAAUGGCACUGCCCGGUAGCUAAAUGCGGAAGAGAUAAGUGCUGAAAGCAUCUAAGCACGAAACUUGCCCCGAGAUGAGUUCUCCCUAACUCCUUGAGAGUCCUGAAGGAACGUUGAAGACGACGACGUUGAUAGGCCGGGUGUGUAAGCGCAGCGAUGCGUUGAGCUAACCGGUACUAAUGAACCGUGAGGCUUAACC